CCAUGCCGCGUGUGUGAAGAAGGCUUUUGGUUGUAAAGCACUUUAAGCAGUGAAGAAGACUCCAUGGUUAAUACCCAUGGACGAUGACAUUAGCUGCAGAAUAAGCACCGGCUAACUCUGUGCCAGCAGCCGCGGUAAUACAGAGGGUGCAAGCGUUAAUCGGAAUUACUGGGCGUAAAGGGAGCGUAGGUGGCUCUAUAAGUCAGAUGUGAAAUCCCCGGGCUUAACCUGGGAACUGCAUCUGAAACUGUAGAGCUAGAGUAUGUGAGAGGAAGGUAGAAUUCCAGGUGUAGCGGUGAAAUGCGUAGAGAUCUGGAGGAAUACCGAUGGCGAAGCAGCCUUCUGGCAUAAUACUGACACUGAGGCUCGAAAGCGUGGGUACNAAACAGGAUUAGAUACCUGGUAGUCCACGCCGUAAACGAUGUCUACUAGUCGUUGGGUCCUUGANGACUUA
rnacentral:rRNA from 1 species